CCUACGGGAGGCAGCAGUGGGGAAUAUUGCACAAUGGGGGAAACCCUGAUGCAGCGACGCCGCGUGAGUGAAGAAGUAUUUCGGUAUGUAAAGCUCUAUCAGCAGGGAAGAAAAUGAGGGUACCUGACUAAGAAGCCCCGGUUAACUACGUGCCAGCAGCCGCGGUAAUACGUAGGGGGCAAGCGUUAUCAGGAUUUACUGGGGGUAAAGGGGGCGUAGAGGGGAGCGCAAGGCUGGAGUGAAAUCGUAUGGCUUAACCAUGGUACGGCUUUGGAAACUGUGGAGCUAGAGUGCAGGAUAGGUAAGCGGAAUUCCUAGGGUAGCGGUGAAAUGCGUAGAUAUUAGGAAGAACACCAGUGGCGAAGGCGGCUUACUGGACUGUAACUGACGUUGAGGCUCGAAAGCGUGGGGAGCAAACAGGAUUAGAUACCCCAGUAGUC
rnacentral:rRNA from 1 species